rnacentral:lncRNA from 1 species
CAGUCUUGUACCCCUAGCCCCUCCGCCCCAGGUCCAGUCUUGUACCCCUAGCCCCUCCGCCCCAGGUCCAGUCUUGUGCCCCUCCGCCCCAGGUCCAGUCUUGUGCCCCUAGCCCCUCCGCCCCAGGUCCAGUCUUGUACCCCUAGCCCCUCCACCCCAGGUCCAGUCCUGUACCCCUAGCCCCUCCACCCCAGGUCCAGUCCUGUGCCCCUCCGCCCCAGGUCCAGUCCUGUGCCCCUCCGCCCCAGGUCCAGUCCUGUACCCCUAGCCCCUCCGCCCCAGGUCCAGUCCUGUACGCCUAGCCCCUCCGCCCCAGGUCCAGUCUUGUACCCCUAGCCCCUCUGCCCCAGGUCCAGUCUUGUGCCCCUCCGCCCCAGGUCCAGUCUUGUGCCCCUCCGCCCCAGGUCCAGUCUUGUGCCCCUCCGCCCCAGGUCCAGUCUUGUGCCCCUCCGCCCCAGGUCCAGUCUUGUGCCCCUAGCCCCUCCGCCCCAGGUCCAGUCUUGUACCCCUAGCCCCUCCGCCCCAGGUCCAGUCUUGUGCCCCUAGCCCCUCCGCCCCAGGUCCAGUCUUGUACCCCUAGCCCCUCCGCCCCAGGUCCAGUCCUGUGCCCCUCCACCCCAGGUCCAGUCCUGUGCCCCUCCACCCCAGGUCCAGUCUUAUACCCCUAGCCCCUCCACCCCAGGUCCAGUCUUAUACCCCUAGCCCCUCCGCCCAAGGUCCAGUCUUGUGCCCCUCCGCCCAAGGUCCAGUCUUGUACCCCUAGCCCCUCCGCCCAAGGUCCAGUCUUGUACCCCUAGCCCCUCCGCCCAAGGUCCAGUCUUGUACCCCUCCGCCCCAGGUCCAGUCCUGUGCCCCUCCGCCCCAGGUCCGUCCUGUGCCCCUCCGCCCCAGGUCCAGUCCUGUGCCCCUCCGCCCCAGGUCCAGUCCUGUGCCCCUCCGCCCCAGGUCCAGUCCUGUGCCCCUCCGCCCCAGGUCCAGUCCUGUGCCCCUCCGCCCCAGGUCCAGUCCUGUGCCCCUCCGCCCCAGGUCCAGUCCUGUGCCCCUCCGCCCCAGGUCCAGUCCUGUGCCCCUCCGCCCCAGGCCCAGUCCUGUGCCGUGCCCCUCCGCCCCAGGGCAAGUCCUGUGCCGUGCCCAUCCGCCCCAGGGCAAGUCCUGUGCCGUGCCCCUCCACCCCACGUCCAGUCCUGUACCCCUAGCUCCUCCGCCCCAGGUCCAGUCCCGUGCCCCUCCGCCCCAGGUCCAGUCCCGUGCCCCUCCGCCCCAGGUCCAGUCCCGUGCCCCUCCGCCCCCUAUCUAGUGCACUACUUUAGACCAGGCCCCUAUUCCCUACCUAGUGCACUACCUUGACCAGCUAGAUGGUCUGAACUAGUGAACUAGAAAGGGAAUAGGAGGCCAUUUUGUCAUGUGAUGCCAGAGGGGUCGUCUACAACGAAUUUUAUCUUCACACACCUGGACUAGACACACCUGGACUAGACACACCUGGACUAGACACACUGACACACCUGGACUAGACACACCUGGACUAGACAUGCUGUAACAGAGACACACCUGGACUAGACAUACCUGGACUAGACACACCUGGACUAGACAUGCUGUAACAGAGACACACCUGGACUAGACACACCAACAGAGACACACCUGGACUAGACACACCGACACACCUGGACUAGACACGUGACCGUUGAAAUGAAAUGUUUUAUUUUUGCAUGCGUUGUGUAGCAACACAUUUUUAGUUAUAAAACAUGGUUCAUUUGUGAUUUUAUUUUUUAUUACUGUGAAAGUUCAACGGGCUCCACUGUCUCUUGCUCCUAACAGGUCGUGACCCCCAUAUUCACCUUCCUGUGGGAUUCAGUAACAUUCCGUCUAGAUUGAAUACUACUGCUGCUAUAGUUUUCAUUAAAGAUGAGAGGGGAAGCAGGCUGAUUUUUUUUUUUGAACGGUUAGCGAUCCUGUUAUGAUGUGGUUCUUCUGGUUGUGGACGAGAGAAGACAUUUUAAAGUGUGGUAGACCUAGUUAUGAAGAGGGUGUGUUUUUCUACCUGCUCUGUCCAGCUCUCUGAGGAACAAACAUUUGUUUUUGAAAAGGGGUGUGUUGAUCAGGGUUCAUUUUUGAAAUGGCUCCCUAUUCCCUAUCUAGUGCUCUACGUAGGGAAUAGGGUCCCUCAUAGGGGAUUUGGUUAAACCUAGGGGUCCUGUCUGUGUUUCUACUGAAUGUGUGUUCACAACCUUUUUGCUUUGUAAGACUGUAUUUAUUGUAAAAGAUAAAUGGAAAAUAUGUUGUGCUUGAGUGAGAUGAAUUAUUUUACCUGUCUUGAGUAAAUGGACUCCGAUUCCCUUCUCCCCCUCGUGGAAUUACACUCACUCAACAUGGCCGCCGGGUUCACCCAUAACUGUCUGAGUAAAUGGACUCCAACUCCCUUCUCCCCCUCGUGGAAUUACACUCACUCAACAUGGCCGCCGGGUUCACCCAUAACUGUGUAAAUGGACUCACACUCACUCAACAUGGCCGCCUUCUCCCCCUCGUGGAAUUAUACUCACUCAACAUGGCCGCCGGGUUCACCCAUAACUGUGUAAAUGGACUCCGAUUCCCUUCCCCCCCCUCGUGGAAUUACACUCACUCAACAUGGCCGCCGGGUUCACCCAUAACUGUGUAAAUGGACUCACACUCACUCAACAUGGCCGCCGGGUUCACCCAUAACUGUGUAAAUGGACUCCGAUUCCCUUCUCCCCCCUCGUGGAAUUACACUCACUCAACAUGGCCGCCGGGUUCACCCAUAACUGUGUAAAUGGACUCACACUCACUCAACAUGGCCGCCGGGUUCACCCAUAACUGUGUAAAUGGACUCCGAUUCCCUUCUCCCCCCCUCGUGGAAUUACACUCACUCAACAUGGCCGCCGGGUUCACCCAUAACUGUGUAAAUGGACUCACACUCACUCAACAUGGCCGCCGGGUUCACCCAUAACUGUGUAAAUGGACUCACACUCACUCAACAUGGCCGCCGGGUUCACCCAUAACUGUGUCAUUGAGUUGAAAAGGGAAUGUCUGCUUCAGUAAUCGUCUUUCUAUGGGAAUAUAUCUCCCUUCUCACAGCCUCUCUGACAUUCUAGAUGUAUCUUUCUAGCGCCGGUCAAAAAGUAGAGCACCAUUUUUGGAUGCCGGGGUGGAAGGUCCAGUCGGGUCACAGUCUGUUUCCCACAAGGCAUCAGCUGGUGUGAAAGGAUUCUCCAUUCAUCUCUGGGUUUGGUUGUUUCUGUCUGAGGUGAGGCGCUGCAGCCGUCGCCUGUCUGAUACAUUUCUAGUCCUUCUGAUUCAAAUGGGGAAUAAAUUCAUCAAUUCAACGGGUAA